rnacentral:rRNA from 1 species
GAUAAACGCUGGCGGCGUGCCUAAUACAUGCAAGUCGAGCGAACGGACGAGAAGCUUGCUUCUCUGAUGUUAGCGGCGGACGGGUGAGUAACACGUGGAUAACCUACCUAUAAGACUGGGAUAACUUCGGGAAACCGGAGCUAAUACCGGAUAAUAUUUUGAACCGCAUGGUUCAAAAGUGAAAGACGGUCUUGCUGUCACUUAUAGAUGGAUCCGCGCUGCAUUAGCUAGUUGGUAAGGUAACGGCUUACCAAGGCAACGAUGCAUAGCCGACCUGAGAGGGUGAUCGGCCACACUGGAACUGAGACACGGUUCAGACUCCUACGGGAGGCAGCAGUAGGGAAUCUUCCGCAAUGGGCGAAAGCCUGACGGAGCAACGCCGCGUGAGUGAUGAAGGUCUUCGGAUCGUAAAACUCUGUUAUUAGGGAAGAACAUAUGUGUAAGUAACUGUGCACAUCUUGACGGUACCUAAUCAGAAAGCCACGGCUAACUACGUGCCAGCAGCCGCGGUAAUACGUAGGUGGCAAGCGUUAUCCGGAAUUAUUGGGCGUAAAGCGCGCGUAGGCGGUUUUUUAAGUCUGAUGUGAAAGCCCACGGCUCAACCGUGGAGGGUCAUUGGAAACUGGAAAACUUGAGUGCAGAAGAGGAAAGUGGAAUUCCAUGUGUAGCGGUGAAAUGCGCAGAGAUAUGGAGGAACACCAGUGGCGAAGGCGACUUUCUGGUCUGUAACUGACGCUGAUGUGCGAAAGCGUGGGGAUCAAACAGGAUUAGAUACCCUGGUAGUCCACGCCGUAAACGAUGAGUGCUAAGUGUUAGGGGGUUUCCGCCCCUUAGUGCUGCAGCUAACGCAUUAAGCACUCCGCCUGGGGAGUACGACCGCAAGGUUGAAACUCAAAGGAAUUGACGGGGACCCGCACAAGCGGUGGAGCAUGUGGUUUAAUUCGAAGCAACGCGAAGAACCUUACCAAAUCUUGACAUCCUUUGACAACUCUAGAGAUAGAGCCUUCCCCUUCGGGGGACAAAGUGACAGGUGGUGCAUGGUUGUCGUCAGCUCGUGUCGUGAGAUGUUGGGUUAAGUCCCGCAACGAGCGCAACCCUUAAGCUUAGUUGCCAUCAUUAAGUUGGGCACUCUAAGUUGACUGCCGGUGACAAACCGGAGGAAGGUGGGGAUGACGUCAAAUCAUCAUGCCCCUUAUGAUUUGGGCUACACACGUGCUACAAUGGACAAUACAAAGGGCAGCGAAACCGCGAGGUCAAGCAAAUCCCAUAAAGUUGUUCUCAGUUCGGAUUGUAGUCUGCAACUCGACUACAUGAAGCUGGAAUCGCUAGUAAUCGUAGAUCAGCAUGCUACGGUGAAUACGUUCCCGGGUCU